AGAGUUUGAUCAUGGCUCAGGAUGAACGCUAGCGGCAGGCUUAAUACAUGCAAGUCGUGGGGCAGCACAGUGUAGCAAUACAUGGGUGGCGACCGGCAAACGGGUGCGGAACACGUACGCAACCUUCCUUUAACUGGAGAAUAGCCCGGGGAAACCCGGAUUAAUACUCCGUAACAUUAUGAAGUGGCAUCACUUUAUAAUUAUAGCUCCGGCGGUUGAAGAUGGGCGUGCGUCUGAUUAGGUAGUUGGCGGGGUAACGGCCCACCAAGCCUACGAUCAGUAACUGGUGUGAGAGCACGACCAGUCACACGGGCACUGAGACACGGGCCCGACUCCUACGGGAGGCAGCAGUAAGGAAUAUUGGUCAAUGGACGCAAGUCUGAACCAGCCAUGCCGCGUGGAGGAUGAAGGUCCUCUGGAUUGUAAACUUCUUUUAUUUGGGAAGAAACCCCCGAUUUCUAUUGGGGUUGACGGUACCAGAUGAAUAAGCACCGGCUAACUCCCGUGCCAGCAGCCGCGGUA
rnacentral:rRNA from 1 species